AUUUCUUUUUCCUAGCGAAACUAUGGCAACUUGGAUAACAAUGAUAUGCUAUCAGGAGGAUCUUUAAUAGAGACAAAUUUAUUUGAUAUUUGUAGCUAGGCAAGUUAGGUGGCACGUCGAUUCAGAAUAAGCAUCAUUAGGUUGAUUGCAUUGUUUGCUGAUGCAAUAUCUUAGAGCCUUAUCUGUAGUAGUCUCACAAAGAUGCUUGCCAAUUGCUAGAUAAGGAACUCCUUGUAAAUUCUAAAACACAUUCAACUUUAGGUACUAAACUGCAACUUUUAUAAUUUGUGGCAUUGGAUACUUAAGAAACUCCUGACCAGAACUUUGAAUAAAUUCCU
rnacentral:misc_RNA from 1 species